rnacentral:rRNA from 1 species
UACGUAGGGGGCGAGCGUUAUCCGAAUUUAUUGGGUGUAAAGCGUGUGUAGGCGGUUUAAUAAGUCUAAGGUUUAAUCCCGAAGCUUAACUUCGGUUCGCCUUAGAAACUGUUUUACUUGAGUGCGGUAGAGGCAAGUGGAAUUUCUAGUGUAGCGGUAAAAUGCUUAGAUAUUAGAAGGAACACCAGUGGCGAAGGCGACUUGCUGGGCCGUUACUGACGCUGAGACACGAAAGCGUGGGGAGC